UACGAAGGGGGCGAGCGUUGUUCGGAUUUACUGGGCGUAAAGGGCGCGCAGGCGGCUCAUUUUGUCAGGCGUGAAAGCCCCGGGCUUAACCUGGGACUGCGUUUGAUACGGAUGGGCUAGAGUUCGGGAGAGGAGAGUGGAAUUCCCAGUGUAGAGGUGAAAUUCGUAGAUAUUGGGAAGAACACCGGUGGCGAAGGCGGCUCACUGGCCCGAUACUGACGGCUGAGGCACGAAAGCGUGGGGAGCAAACAGG
rnacentral:rRNA from 1 species